ACACCACGUGUGCAGGGCAGAACCCACCUGACAUAGCCACCGAGACGAGACGCUGAGGGAGAAAACGGCCAUCCUGCGGGCUUGGACAGGCCCUGGGAGCGCGUGGCGCUGCGCCAUAGCAGGAAGGCCAGGCAGCAGGUGGACCAAGGCCCUGCUCCCUCAGAUCAGACUCUCUUCUCCCACAGGACACAGAGGGACCGAGGGACAGAGCGGGGCUGGUCUGAGAUGUUACCUUCCCUGCAGGCAGAGCAGAAACAUGAAGAGGAGCCCCCCCCCCCAACAGUAAGGACAGAACCCCUCGGUCAAAUAGCUCCUGCAGCGCCUCAGCGUUCGCUACUUCACGUGGACAUCGUAACAGCUGCCAGAGGACAAACCGAGGCACCAAGAGGUGAAGUGGCCAGAGAUUCUCGAUAUCCCCAAAAAUAGAACUCCAUCAUGGCUGAAGCUGCAGUUUCCAGACACUCUGACGAGCCUGGAUCCGUGAGCAGACGUGGCCCACGCUCAGGUGAAG
rnacentral:lncRNA from 1 species